CCAUACUCGAAUUGUCAAAUUUAAUUUCGCAACAUGGCGAUCGUGUAAUGUUUGCGUUUUGCCUUUUGUGUUUGUAAAGCGUUGCCACAGUUACUAGUCCUGUGAAGUAUAUAAUGUGUAAAUAAGGUGAAGUCAACCGUGUUUUAGCGAUGACUACCUUAAUAGAUAAAAUUGAACAAUUAAUCAAAAGGGAAAAGACGACUCCCGAUAGGAAAAAAGAUGAUUCCAAAAAGUCGUCAAGUGAGAUUCUUUCUGAACUUUUUAGUGCUUUUAACGCGGACCCUCCUAAAAUAGAGGAAGUUCCUUCAAAGAAAUCUAAAAAAAGCAAGAAGAAGCAUAAAAAAGAGAAAAAGAAACGCAGUCGAAGCGUUAGCAGUGUCAGUUCUGACGACAGUGAGUACUCCCACAAACGGAAGAAAAGAAAAAAGAGUAAGUCUCAAAAGCGUGCACGAGAGAGCCGGUCACCUUCUUAUCCUUACCCGCUCACACCAGUUAGAGUUAAACCUGAAAACGACAUAGUAAAGCAUGAAAAAGUUAAACAUGAAAAGGAAAUAAAAAAAGAGGAUGUUAAAACCAAAGAGGUUAAGGUCGAAAAGGACGUAAAAGAUACGGUAUCUGUAAAAUUAGAGGAAGGUGAGUUAUCCCUAUCACCUCCACAUCCCAUUCCCUUGCCUCCAGAAUGUAAUAAGACAAUAGACUUGAGACAAAAAUUAGAUAGUAAGAAAGCUGAACUGAAUAAUGGGGACAGUGAUAAAUCUAAGGGUAAAAUUCAAAUAAAGAAUCUAAAAUUCAGUACUGUGUAUGAAGAGACUGUUAAGAAGGCUGAAGAAGAGGCUAGAAAGAGAGCAGAGAAGUAUGAGGAAGGGGAAUAUACAGAUUCAUCAAGUAGUACUGAGAAAGAAGUUGUUUGCAACUCUCAAUUCCCUAAAACCUCAGAUCCUGGGGGUAUACUCAAGAAGCAAGCGGAAGAAGAAUUGAAACAUGACAUCUGUGAAGAAGCUAAACUUGCUGCGAAGAAGAGUAAAAAGUCUGAAAGUUCAUCGAAAUCGACGUCUCGGAAAGAAAAGAGCAAAUCUCCUAAGAGGUCUGGAAGUAAAUCCAGGCGUUCAUCGUCAACAUCCAGAAAGCACCAUCAUAGAUCCAGCUCAAAGACGCGACACAGCAGUCGGUCACGUCACAGGUCUACUUCAAGGUCUCGUAGGAGGUCAAGGUCGCGCUCCAGGCGAAGGUCGAGGUCAAGGUCAAGGCAUAGGACUAGGCGACUCUCCCCUAGGCAUAGUGGAAGGAGGAGAUCUAGGUCUCCAACGGGAGUGAAACUUGCGGAUAGUGAAAAGAAGCGAUUACUAGAAGUGGCUAGAAGGAAUGCUAUCAAUAUGCUCAAGAAUGGCGCGGUGCCUGCCGGAGCAGCCGCGUUGCCGCCACAUACGAGGAACCAAGUGAUGGCUGCUAUACAGUCUGGAGGUAAAUCGGUAGACGAGUUGACGGACUUCUGCAAGCAUUUGUCCAAGAAGGAGGCACUUGGUGAACUGUCUUCUGUCUCAUCAAACGACGAUGAUAUGAGCGAGAACGAAGACACGCUCGCUUUCCAUCAUCCCUUCCUUGUUAAAGAGAAGGCUCCUAUUGUUAUGAAUAUAAGGGGAGGUGCACCUCUACCCAUAAAGACGAAUCCUCUACCGAUAGCCAAUAAGGAGGAAUUGAGGCUACAGUUCCCGGUGUCUUCAGGGUCACAACAUAGAGAGAAAGCAUCUGAGUGGGUUCCUGUUUCACCACCUAAGAAGGACAUGCAAGUAGCAAAACUGAAUUCAAGCAGUAGUUCUUCCAAAUCAAAAUCAAGUACUACAGCUGCCUCAAACACGUGCACUGAAAUUGCCAAAAUUUCGGAACGGUCUUUGAGUCCACCUCCUUAUAUGAAAAGCUUUACGUCGGGAAGUCAGCUGAACUCGGUGCCGACUAUACCUGCGUUACCGGCGCCCGGCCCGCAGGCCUACCCGCCCGGGGUCGAUGCGCAGAAGAUGGUGCGGAUUCAAGACGUAGCGUCGCUGGUGUCACAGAAGCUGUCUAUUAUUCGCAAGGAGCAGGAGGAGAGUGAACUCUUUACUACACAUGGUUUUGGUUGGUCAGCGGGUGAAUCGUCACUGGGUCAGUUCACCGGCUCCACCGGUGCACAGAUACUGACGCCGAGGGAACUCGCUAGCGGUACACAAGCUUGGGCCAAAAAGCUGAUUGCCCCGCCGGUCAGGAUCCACGGUCACUGCGCGGUCGACCGUUCGGUCAGAACUUAUAAUACAUGUUGUAUUAUACUUUCUGACCUAUUUCAAUAUUAUUGUGAUGGUUGCAACAACUUUGUUUUUUAUAAUCAGUAUUUUCGUAAACUAUGCUAUAUUUUUUUACGUCUAUGUAUUCUAUUUGAAUGACUAAAGCUUUGAAAAUGCUUCAUUUUUGAUGCACGGGCAAGUGUUACUGAAACUUACUUGACUAUAAGGAAGUGGUAAUUUUUUCUCACUAUGUCAAUGUUGUGUUUUAUACUAUUGCAAUACAUAUUAAAUACAUAAUAUGAAAUGGUAUAUUUGUAGCUUGUUCCGACAUAUUUGUGUAUUAUCUAUGCACUAUUUUAGAAAUAAAAUCUUGAUCUUUGAACACCUUCACUCUAUGACAGCAAUUUAAAGUACAUAUAUUAUAUUGCAUCAAUUGCUUUAUCUUGUACUCUAUUGUUGUUAACACUAUAAAUAUUAAUAUUUAACAAUUCUAUAUAAUGUACUGAUUAUUUGUUGCUGCAACCAUCACUGUCUCCGUAUAUUUCUGGUUCGUGUAACGGUUGAACUUUGCAGUUCGCUCGUUACACCGCACUAUUCUUCUAACGUGAUGCUUUUAAGUGAUAAGGAGAUGCGUGCACGUCGAUGUCUACGAUGAUAGGUGCUAACCUU
rnacentral:misc_RNA from 1 species